GACGUAGGGCGCGAGCGUUGUCCGGAUUUAUUGGGCGUAAAGAGCUCGUAGGCGGCUUGUCGCGUCGAUCGUGAAAACUUGGGGGCUCAACCCCCAAGCCUGCGGUCGAUACGGGGCAGGCUCGAGUUCGGUAGGGGGAGACUGGAAUUCCUGGUGUAGCGGUGAAAAUGCGCAGAUAUCAGGAGGAACACCGAUGGCGAAGGCAGGUCUCUGGGCUGUAACUGACGCUCAUGCACGAAAGCGUGGGGAGAAACAGG
rnacentral:rRNA from 1 species